UACGUAGGGGGCAAGCGUUGUCCGGAUUUAUUGGGCGUAAAGGGCGCGUAGGCGGCCUGAUAAGUAGGGGGUGAAAUCCUGCGGCUUAACCGCAGGGCUGCCUCUAAACUGUCAGGCUUGAGCACAGUAGAGGCAGGUGGAAUUCCCGGUGCAGCGGUGGAAUGCGUAGAGAUCGGGAAGAACAUCAGUGGCGAAGGCGGCCUGCUGGGCUGUUGCUGACGCUGAGGCGCGACAGCGUGGGGGAGCAAACAGG
rnacentral:rRNA from 1 species